GACAGAGGUGCCAAGCGUUAGGCGGAAUCACUGGGCUUAAAGCGUGUGUAGGCGGGUCGUUAAGUGUAUUGUGAAAUCCCCCGGCUCAACCGGGGAAUGGCUGGGCAUACUGGCGAUCUUGAGCAGUCUAGGGGCAGAUGGAACAGACGGUGGAGCGGUGAAAUGCGUAGAUAUCAGGAGGAACACCGGUGGUGUAGACGGCUCACUGGACCGUAACUGACGCUGAGACACGAAAGCGUGGGUAGCAAACAGG
rnacentral:rRNA from 1 species